CAGCAGCCGCGGGAAUACGGAGGGGGCUAGCGUUGUUCGGAAUUACUGGGCGUAAAGCGCACGUAGGCGGCUUGGUAAGUUAGAGGUGAAAGCCCGGAGCUCAACUCCGGAAUUGCCUUUAAGACUGCCGAGCUAGCAGGUGAGAGAGGUAAGUGGAAUUCCGAGUGUAGAGGUGAAAUUCGUAGAUAUUCGGAAGAACACCAGUGGCGAAGGCGGCUUACUGGCUCAUACUGGACGCUGAGGUGCGAAAGCGUGGGGAGCAAACAGGAUUAGAUACCCCUGUAGUCCCUGUCUCUUAUAC
rnacentral:rRNA from 1 species